ensembl:lncRNA
GGAGCUACCCGCUCUCUGAUCCGGGUGCUUGAGUCACUUGAGUCAGUAUUGGCGCUAACCCGCUCUCUGAGCGGUUCAGAUUCGGUCACAUGAGUCCGGCUGUAGAGGAAGUUAACCGCCAGGAGCGCUAACCCGCUCCCUGAGCGGUUCAGAUUCGACUGCAGGAGCUACCCGCUCUCUGAUCCGGGUGCUUGAGUCACUUGAGUCAGUAUUGGCGCUAACCCGCUCUCUGAUCCGAGUCCGGUUGUAGAGGAAGUUAACCGCCAGGAGCGCUAACCAGCUCUCUGAGCCGGGAGCGCGAACCCGUCUGUGAGCGAUUCAGAUUCGCCUGCAGGGCUGUUUUCGGCUCUGACUGACACAAGGAGUCCAUUAGGAGGAUUCAACUUUGCGGGACGUUUAUGUCAAGUAAAGAGAGACAAGAGUCCCGAAAAGAGGUGGCAGUUCUAGCCAACAUGAGUUACCCCAACAUUGUCCAAUACAAGGAGUCAUUUGAAGGCAACUGAGCAGAAUCUAUCAUGGAACGCGCAGCCUCUGACCACGACGUCGGGAUGAUGACAAGCUGGCCGCCAUUCCGCGAAAUAUGGGACCAGUGGACUGACCGGCUCCCACGGAUCUUUAACCCCGGAGCAGACAUGCUGGCAGAGCAGUUGCCCAAAAGGAAGAUUGCCAUGGUCGGCACAAUAAGAAAAAACAAACCAGAACUUCCACUGAGCUCCUGAGGGUCUGGGGGAGAGAGUCUCUCUCCUCAGUGUUUGCAUUUACGGCAACACACACCGUGGUAUCGUACAUACCAAAGAGGGGUAAGAACGUGUUACUCCUGAGCACAAAGCACCGGGAGCUGGAUAUCAGCAGCAGGGAGAAGAGGAAGCCCCAGAUCAUCCUCGACUACAAUAUAUAGUGACAACAAAAGGCAUUCUGUUCUAUUCUAUUCUAUUCUUGUUUUUGUUUCUUUCCGUUGUCGUCCCCGGUUUUGGCCCUCCUGCC